UACGAAGGGGGCUAGCGUUGCUCGGAAUUACUGGGCGUAAAGCGCACGUAGGCGGCUCUUUAAGUCGGGGGUGAAAUCCUGGAGCUCAACUCCAGAACUGCCUUCGAUACUGAAGAGCUUGAGUCCGGGAGAGGUGAGUGGAACUGCAAGUGUAGAGGUGAAAUUCGUAGAUAUUCGCAAGAACACCAGUGGCGAAGGCGGCUCACUGGCCCGGUACUGACGCUGAGGUGCGAAAGCGUGGGGAGCAAACAGG
rnacentral:rRNA from 1 species